UCAACGUCCAACCGCCGCCGUGUAAGCAUUGCACUGCUCCGUAAUACUUACGUACGCACGCGAUUAUUCCGUCGUCACGGCUUUAUCGGUUUCUUUUGAAUUGAGACUAAAUUAUCUGUCCAUAUGGUUCAUCUCGUAGAUAUAUUUCGUUCGGCGAACGUUGAAUAUCCGCCGCCGAUUAUUAGAAUGGUGUAUUUAAACUAUGUAAAUAAUUGCAUAGUGGUGGAUUAAUUUAAGAUACUUAAUCAAGUUUAUAAACUGUUUACGUGCACAUGUUGGACUUUUUAAUACAAUCGUGUGUUUGUAAUUAGGGACUUUAUUGUUAUUUAAUAUUUGUUUUUUGAUUUCUUUUGUAAUUUAAAAUUCUGAGAAUCACUGACUAGGUAAUCGUUCUCAUUUGUAUAAUUUUAUGAGUUUGUAACAGAUUUUAUUUAAUAAAUUGUUUUCCUUA